rnacentral:rRNA from 1 species
UGGGGAAUAUUGCGCAAUGGGGGGAACCCUGACGCAGCGACGCCGCGUGCGGGAUGAAGGCCUUCGGGUUGUAAACCGCUUUCACCAGGGAAGAAUCCAGACGGUACCUGGGGAAGAAGCGCCGGCUAACUACGUGCCAGCAGCCGCGGUAAUACGUAGGGCGCAAGCGUUGUCCGGAUUUAUUGGGCGUAAAGAGCUCGUAGGCGGCCUGUCGCGUCUGCUGUGAAAUCCCGGGGCUUAACCCCGGGCUUGCAGUGGAUACGGGCUGGCUGGAGGCAGGCAGGGGAGAACGGAAUUCCCGGUGUAGCGGUGAAAUGCGCAGAUAUCGGGAGGAACACCGGUGGCGAAGGCGGUUCUCUGGGCCUGUUCUGACGCUGAGGAGCGAAAGCGUGGGGAGCGAACAGGAUUAGAUACCCCCGUAGUCC